GAGAUCUAAGCAGCGUUCCCACAGCCCCCUCUAGAUUCUUGGAGUUCCGCAGAGCUUACUAUACGCGGUCUGUCCUAAUCUUUGUGGUGUUCGCUAUCUCUUGUGUCAAAUCUGGUGAACGCUACGCUUACAUAUAUUGUCUUUGUGCUGCUGUGUGACAAACGCAAUGCAAAAACAAUCCUCUUUCUCUCUCUUAAUGCAUGAUACAGAAUAAUAAUAAGAAUUUCAUCUUUAAAUGAGUAAGAGAAAUAAGUAUGUUAUUCUAAAAUCUAAACUCAAAUGAAAUUUCAAAAAAGACCAAAAAAAAACAA
rnacentral:lncRNA from 1 species